AUAGAGGAGGGUUUCGUGGGUUCUUUCACCUUUACACCAACGAUGGUGGAGCUAGAGAGAGACUUUAUGGUGUGUAAAGUACAACAUUCUUAAACCAGGGGAUUUAGAUAAAUAGCAUAACCCAAACCCUUUACGGUAAUUGGGAGCCAAUCAUGGCAAAACGCAACCCUCAUACCACUUUUGCUCUCAAGAAACCUACGGUACGUACAAUUUUUCUUUUCUUCCUCUUCCUUUUCUUAUCGGUAUUCUUAUACCUCGCUUCCUCUCCGGUGGUCGCCAUUACUGCCUACUUCGACCAGCCCUACCCUUCCCUUUUCCCCAACCUAGGAGCAUCUGUCGACAACUUCUCUGCUUCGUCCGUUUAACAGAUCGUCGAUCACUGCCUCUACGAUACCAUCAACUGCUCCAGACCUGUGAACAACAUGUCUAAAUCUCGCAUCUACACGAUGUCAAUGUUGUUCGCCCUAUGGAAUACUAGGAUUAAGAAGCACUUACUGUUCAGUGGGGCAUCAGGAGUCCCUAGCUGCUAACGGGAAUAAAUAUCAGUCUUUUGAAUAUAAAUCUGGAAUGGAUAGUGGAAGAAAUGCUUACUCAUCAGAUCAGGAAAGUCAGUAUAGUGUUGCUGAAGAUGAAGAUGAUUCAAAUCCAAGUUCACUUAGAAGAACAAAAAUUGGAUAGGUAAGUAAGGGUAAAAUGGUAUAUAAGUUAAUGUUUAGUAUAUUUGCAGACUAUGCAAUUUUUAAAGGCAAAACAACACUUUCUAUUGCCCCUGUUCUUCCUAGUUUUAUUAAAAUGGAUGUAUGAUUCUCUAUGAUCCAUCAUCUGCCUUUUACUUUUUAAAAAGAAUACUAAACAUUAGCAAGUGGAAAAA